ACGAAAUCAGUCCUGACCUUUGGAAAUUCCGGCGCUACAUCUCCUGCAAGUCGGAAACCCGAAAACUGCGAGUCUGACUCUCGGAGUGAUCGGAUCACGGCAUCUGGCGAUGGAAAUCCGAAUGCGAAGAAGACAAAAGGCAAAAGUUUCGAACGGAAUCAAAACAAAAGACUCCGUAAGAAACCAUCUGGGCGUACAAAACCUCAUUCCGAGGAAAAUAAACCCAGUUCAACAGAGCGUUUUCAGUUUUGCAGAGAAUAAUGAUAAUUUCAGUAUCAGAGAAUAGGAUUUUAUGGAUUUCACUACGUUCGAAUGAUGCAAAAAAUGUUUCAUAAGUAGGAAAUGAGCUGCCCCGGGCCACUGCUCAAGAACCGAGAAAAAAAAACAGAAAGAAUCAGCAACUGUCCUGAAAUGUGCACAAAAAACAGACAAAAUCAUAUCUCAAAAUUUGAAAAUUCGGAUUUCUCUGACCCGUCAAUAAUGGCGAUAGGAAGAUAAGAAAACUAACUGCAUCCAUCGGUUCGUAACUGAGAACGAAUGUGCACACAACCUCCACAAUCGUGAAUGCCACCGUAAGUUAAGGAACAUCAAAGCAGCCAGUUUCCUUGGUUUGAUUUCACAGAGGGAAGCCUUGAUGCGAUUUCCCAUAGAGAAGCUUGUUGACAUUUCAUUUUCAAUGACGUCGUCUCCAUUAUACCUACAGUAAUGUAAAUGGGGAGCAUUAUGGCAUCACAAAUAAUUCAAUUGUCACCAAUCGACAGCUGAUACUCACCUCAUCGCAGAUGACCGAUUGUUCGUAUUUUGCAGUAUUCAUUCCACCCAGGUAGACAUUUUCAGCCCAACCCAUUGCCAACAGUGACAGUCGUCAUAUGCCAUUCGAUAUCACGUGAAGCGUAGUUGACACAUCCUCACAGGUGGUGUGAGGAUUUAAUAUUCAUCGAAGCCGUGGCAUUCCCGAGCAUCCCUUUUUGCCGGAGCAUCAAUAGGCUCGAGUGGC